rnacentral:rRNA from 2 species
CUAAGGUGGGACAGAUGAUUGGGGUGAAGUCGUAACAAGGUAGCCGUAUCGGAAGGUGCGGCUGGAUCACCUCCUUU